CGAAGAACCUUACCUGGGUUUGACAUGCACAGGACGCCGGCAGAGAUGUCGGUUCCCUUGUGGCCUGUGUGCAGGUGGUGCAUGGCUGUCGUCAGCUCGUGUCGUGAGAUGUUGGGUUAAGUCCCGCAACGAGCGCAACCCUUGUCUCAUGUUGCCAGCACGUAAUGGUGGGGACUCGUGAGAGACUGCCGGGGUCAACUCGGAGGAAGGUGGGGAUGACGUCAAGUCAUCAUGCCCCUUAUGUCCAGGGCUUCACACAUGCUACAAUGGCCGGUACAAAGGGCUGCGAUGCCGUGAGGUGGAGCGAAUCCUUGUUAAAGCCGGUCUCAGUUCGGAUCGGGGUCUGCAACUCGACCCCGUGAAGUCGGAGUCGCUAGUAAUCGCAGAUCAGCAACGCUGCGGUGAAUACGUUCCCGGGUCUUGUACACACCGA
rnacentral:rRNA from 1 species